rnacentral:miRNA from 1 species
UAUGGGUGGGGAUUUGUUGCACGACU